rnacentral:lncRNA from 1 species
AACAGUAGAUAGGAUAAAGGAGAGAGGAUAAGGGAAAAACUUAUCCCUUAGAACAGUGUGGGGGAAUUUGGUGACACACAACUUAGGGUCCAGUACAAACCCUGUCCCUUACCAGCCUCAGUUACCCUGUCUGGAAAAUGGAAACAAUGCUCACUCUGCUCUGUGUUCAGUUUGGAAAUGGAAAGAAAUGGCUGUGCUAGGUAGGACCAGUCGUGCAGAGACUCCUUAUUCUUCGUUCCGGACCACAGAGACUCGGAGCCAUGAAGUCUUCCACUGUGGUUUCAGGACUGCCAUAAAUGUGAAUCUUGGGGCGUCUUCAGAUCCCUUCAUUUUUCUGGCUACUGUAAGAAAACGCUGGACAGAAAGAAGCAACUCGGUCUGAAAAGAUCAGAGCUCUGGGAGGGGAUCAACAGCUUGACUGACAUAAAGGUUUCGAAGAGGUGUGAUACAUCGGCGCUGGAAGAUUCUGAUGAUUCUGCCUCCUUGUACAAAUUCAUUUUCCCACAAGCAGUAUUUGAGGGUGCUCUGUCCCCACCCUCUGUGUGAGCCUUGAGUGUCGGGUGGAGUCCUUGUUACCUUUGAGGGGAAGAAACAGUUUCCCUGUGAGAUUCUCCACUCUCUAUGUGAUUCUCCACUCCCAGUGUGAUUCUCUUCCUCCUGUUCCUUUCAGCUUUCAUAGUAUUUCUUUGGAGAAUUUAAAAAUAUAUGUAUUUUUGGAGUGCAUAACUGAUUUGUAGGAGUUCAUUUUAAUUCAUUAUAAUCAUAGCUACGAUACAAUUAAAGUUUAUUUAUAAUGUAUACAAUUACAGUAUAUGAUAGCUACAAUGAAGUCAUAGUUAUAAUUAACAAUUAUAUUUAUAUAAAAUUAAUAGUUAUAUACUAAAUAUUGUAUAAUUAAUCAUUGUGAAUUAAACUGUUGCUCUC